GGGCUACACACGUGCUACAAUGGCGGUGACAGUGGGAAGCUAGGUAGUGAUGCUUAGCUGAUCUCAAAAAGCCGUCUCAGUUCGGAUUGCACUCUGCAACUCGGGUGCAUGAAGGUGGAAUCGCUAGUAAUCGCGGAUCAGCAUGCCGCGGUGAA
rnacentral:rRNA from 1 species